UAAAGAUAGAACAGGAGACCGGCAGCUGCGCGAACAAUUGGAGGAGGCUCGUUGAUGGGGACUAGGCGAACAUGGACCCCGCUGCCGAAGGUCGUAGUAGAUCAAAACGUCCGGGAAUUAUGUCUCAUGUGGCUAUAUACUAAUGAUGUACAAAUGAUUUACUCUGGAUGUAUACAAAUGAUAAUCUGCAAAAAGAAUAAAAUGUAAAAAUUGUGGAUUAA